UACGUAGGGUGCGAGCGUUGUCCGGAAUUAUUGGGCGUAAAGAGCUCGUAGGCGGUGUGUCGCGUCGGCCGUGAAAACCUGGGGCUUAACUCUGGGCGUGCGGUCGAUACGGGCAUCACUAGAGUUCGGCAGGGGAGACUGGAAUUCCUGGUGUAGCGGUGAAAUGCGCAGAUAUCAGGAGGAACACCGGUGGCGAAGGCGGGUCUCUGGGCCGAAAUUGACGCUGAGGAGCGAAAGCGUGGGGAGCAAACAGG
rnacentral:rRNA from 1 species